rnacentral:rRNA from 1 species
GAUCAUGGCUCAGGAUGAACGCUAGCGACAGGCUUAACACAUGCAAGUCGAGGGGCAGCGAGGGAGUGGCAACACUUCCGUCGGCGACCGGCGCACGGGUGAGUAACGCGUAUGCAACCUGCCCUUCACAGGGGGAUAACCGGGAGAAAUUCCGACUAAUACCGCAUACGUCCUCCGGGGGCAUCCCCGGGGGAUGAAAGAAUUAUCGGUGAAGGAUGGGCAUGCGUGAUAUUAGGUAGUUGGGCGGGGACG